UACGGAGGUGGCAAGCGUUGUUCGGAAUUACUGGGCGUAAAGGGCGCGUAGGCGGCCUUCUAAGUCAGACGUGAAAUCCCCCGGCUUAACCUGGGAACUGCGUCUGAUACUGGGAGGCUUGAGUAUGGGAGAGGGAUGUAGAAUUCCAGGUGUAGCGGUGAAAUGCGUAGAUAUCUGGAGGAAUACCGGUGGCGAAGGCGGCAUCCUGGACCAUAACUGACGCUGAGGCGCGAAAGCUAGGGGAGCAAACGGG
rnacentral:rRNA from 1 species